rnacentral:tRNA from 1 species
CACUAUGAAGCUAAAUAGCAUUAACCUUUUAAGUUAAAGAUUGAGAAUUUAACUCUCCAUAGUGA